rnacentral:rRNA from 1 species
UACGUAGGGUGCGAGCGUUGUCCGGAAUUAUUGGGCGUAAAGGGCUCGUAGGCGGUCUGUCGCGUCAGGAGUGAAAACUCGGGGCUUAACCCCGAGCCUGCUUCUGAUACGGGCAGACUAGAGGUAUGCAGGGGAGAACGGAAUUCCUGGUGUAGCGGUGAAAUGCGCAGAUAUCAGGAGGAACACCAAUGGCGAAGGCAGCUCGCUGGGACGUGACUGACGCUGAGACGCGAAAGCGUGGGGAGCGAACAGG